GUGUUAUUUGUUGCAAAGAGUAAUGGAAGCAGUGAACAAGGAGAAGACGGUUCUACCAAAACUGAAGAACUUGGUUUUGAUCGAUCUUCCUAAGUUGUAUAGUGCAAUUGCUGCCGUUGAUAUUGAAUGUCCUUCAUUGGAACGCUUGAUGGUGGUGGGAUGCCCCGAGGUUUUAUUUUCAACCUCUUCCGAUCUCUUCGGAGCCUUCAAAAGCAGGAACCAAUUUUCAUUUUCAGCCUCCACUUCUCACCCAGUCCAACUCAAUGAUCCACAAUUAUACAAAACUCUACGUGGCAGAGCAUCUUUGUGAAGUCUCUAGCUCAGCUUCUAACUUCCAUUGCCGGAAUUAACCAAGUUCAACUCUAUUUCUUUGUCCAGUAAAUUGAUUGUUGGACAAAUCCAGCACUCGGAUACUAGAUGAGAGAGAAAGUACUGGAAGCGCCCUAGAAACAAGGUUAGAGCUCAAAUCAAGAACCUCAAGAUGAGUCAAGGACAAGAAGGAAGCGACACUUUGAUGUAGGGAAUUUUGGGAGAGAUUCAAGUGGGUGAGAUGUGUGAGAUUUUCAAGUGCUAGUUUUGAUGAAGCAAAUGUAAUACCUUGUUUGAGUGUGAGGCCAUCGGAGGGCAAUGAGAUACGGGUGACCCAACCAGCCGCAUCGCAGUUGAUGCCUUGCCCAGUUUAAGGAAGAGGGAGAAGAAAGAGCCAGAGCGAAGGACAAGAGAGAAGUGUGUUCAGUUGGGUUGCAUACAUGGUU